GUGGGUUUAGCACAGUUGGCAGGGCGUCAGAUUGUGGUUCUGAAGGUCGUGGGUUCGAGCCCCACAACCCACC
rnacentral:tRNA from 1 species